rnacentral:rRNA from 1 species
GAUGAACGCUGGCGGCGUGCUUAACACAUGCAAGUCGAACGGUGAAGCAGAGCUUGCUCUGUGGAUCAGUGGCGAACGGGUGAGUAACACGUGAGCAACCUGCCCCUGACUCUGGGAUAAGCGCUGGAAACGGCGUCUAAUACUGGAUAUGAGCUGCGACCGCCUGGUCAGCAGUUGGAAAGAUUUUUCGGUCUGGGAUGGGCUCACGGCCUAUCAGCUUGUUGGCGAGGUAAUGGCUCACCAAGGCGUCGACGGGUAGCCGGCCUGAGAGGGUGACCGGCCACACUGGGACUGAGACACGGCCCAGACUCCUACGGGAGGCAGCAGUGGGGAAUAUUGCACAAUGGGCGAAAGCCUGAUGCAGCAACGCCGCGUGAGGGAUGACGGCCUUCGGGUUGUAAACCUCUUUUAGCAGGGAAGAAGCGAAAGUGACGGUACCUGCAGAAAAAGCGCCGGCUAACUACGUG